rnacentral:tRNA from 1 species
GCGCCCUUAGCUCAGUUGGAUAGAGCAACGACCUNCUAAGUCGUGGGCCGCAGGUUCGAAUCCUGCAGGGCGCGCCA